rnacentral:sRNA from 1 species
AUGGAUUCUCCACAAAGCCAUGGUACCUUCUCUGAUGAGUUCAAGGUAAAUGGGUUUUCUUUUCUAAAUAGUAAUUUAUUGUUUACAAAUAGAUAUAUAAACUUGUAGAAGCAGUGAUAGAUCUUUCUCUCUAUUAUUAUUAUAUGGCUAAGCAAGGAAUUUGGUGAAUAUUUCCUCUCUUUUUUUUUGGGUGUUCAAAUAAGAUAAAUGAUACUACUUUGAUGUUUGCUUGGCCAUUAAUGUUGUGUGUCAAUUUAAUGACAUGCAAAAUUAUAAAAACUUUUGAGUAGUGGGAUGGUUUCAACUUGUACAGCCAUCAAGUAGCUCCAGAUUAACAUUAUUGAGAUAUAUAAACUGUUAAAAAAAUACCAUUUCUUAUAGAGCUUCCGUUUGCCCAAGAAAUAUUACAGAGGAAAGAUUACUUUUGUUUAGAGAAAGUAGUUUUCUUUUUACAUAAUGAAAAAGUAAUUGGAGUGUAUUUAAUAAUGAUCAGUUCCUUUUCCCCUCAUCUGAACAAUAAUUUUAUUGAUGGUGCAAACCUAGGCUUCAUAACCCAGGGUUUAAGACAUAAAUGGUAUUCGACUAGAAAUAUGACUAGUAUGCUGCCCCUGCACAAGUACUGUUCCAUGGGAAGAUACUGGGAUGUUGGCAGGAGUCUUCAACCUUGUACUUUAUACUGUAGUAAUGAAAUUGUCCCUAUAAAUUUUUUUUCCUUUAUUGUAUUUAUACCAUUUUAAAGUAUCUGAGUGAUUGAACAAAAAUCUGGAAAUGAUAACACAUUACUUUUCUUGACUAUUAAUUAGGCUGAAUUUAUUGUAGAUGUUUUUAAUUAAGAAAGAAAGUAAUGGCUUAGCAGCAGUUCAUAUGACUGUUUAAAAUAGGCCAGGAAAUUCUAGGACUGUUUAAAAUAGUAUGUACAAACGAGAUCCCAUGCCAUGGUAAAGUUUCUGCUCCAUGUAUGAAAGCUUAGUAGCCCAAAGUUCUGUUAUAGCUUUGACAUUGAGCACCUUAUCUAAUGUAUGGGGCAUAUAUAAAAGUUUCUGUAGGAGAUUCUUUAAGAAAGGCAUGGGAGUAUUAUGCUACAAAUAAUGCUCAGCAUUGACAUAAAUUCUCAUGUAAUGAGUAGUUUGUUAACUAAUUCAAAUACAAUUACAAGACUGCUAUUUGUUCCUGAUCAAGAAGAUGUUUAUAAGAUUGAACUAUUUCUUAAGGGUAGAACUGUAGUGUAACCCAUAGGUGUUUAAAGUUGAAUACAUGUGCAUUUGUGCCUUUUGUUACUCUAAAGUAAGUUCUUGGUCUACUAAUUUGGUUAGGUUUGAAGCUCUUUGGCAUCGUUCUGUAAUGAUGCAUUUUUAUGUCUGCAAUAAAGAUCUAGGCUUUGAUGCAAAAAAUGGGAACAGACGUAGCAAAUAAUGGAUGAAUGAAACAGAUAUUUAGAUAGCUUGGCCUUUUUGAAUAUAUCUGAAGGCAAAAAUGUGAGGAGAUAUUUAUUAAGGCUGUUAGUUAAUUACAACUGCAGCAUUUCUCAUAAUUUUUUGGUAGUGUGAUCUGUGUUUCUAACUUGAUAAUGUGCACAGCGGGAGACAUGGAAGCACACACUCCUUUUCUCAUUUCAAAGCCUUGGAGUAAUUUAUGGUCAAAUAAGUACAGCUCCCUUAUAUGUCCUUGGGACAAUUCCUGCAAAUAAUCUCAAAUCAGAUGAGACUGUAUAUGAGCUCUUUGCCUUUAUUUUCUGGACAAUGACCAUCAUUUCAUUACUGAAGUAUGCCUUUAUAGUACUGAAGGCUGAUGAUGAUGGAGAGGGUAAUACUCUCUAGUACUGUAAAUCAUUUUAGCAGGAUUUUGCCUUGGAAGAAUUAUUCACACCAACAAAAUUAUUGCAGGUGGUACUUUUGCUUUGUAUUCACUAUUAUGCAGGCAUGCCAAAGUAGGCCUGCUUCCAAUUGACACAAGUGCUAAUGAGGUUUUGCAGUAUGAAGUGAGAAGCUCUUUCAAGGUCAAUGUUAAAUCAAGGGCUUGGAGGGCCAUAGCAAAACAUAAAAGUAGUCACUACUUUAUAUUGUUCUUGGCUCUGUUUGGUUCCUGCAUGACAAUUGGGGAAGGAGUGCUUACUCCAGCUCUCUCUGGUUUGGCAGUUUAGAUUUACUUUCAGCAGUUUAUUUCUUCAUAACAUGAUUAAUUUGAUUUAGGCGUAAUUCAAUUGUUUUCUUUUUCUUUUAUUUUUUUCAGUGUUAUCAGCUUCAUCAGGUAUUCAGAGAUCAUUGUCAUAUAUGUCACAUAAAUGUAAGAGUUAGCAAUAGGACACAAAUUUGAUUCAAGAAACAAAGGAUUAAUGUUAUGCAUUAUUUAAUAGGAAUGUCGAUCAUCAGUUUCAUUUUAUAUUAUACCUUGUGGCUUUCCAGAUUUUUUAUCCCAAAGGAAACAGGAGUCCAUCUCAAACACUUUAGAAAGAUGUAAGUACGCUACCAUGUAAUGAAUCAGAUGUAAUGUACAAAUAUUUUUUCAUCUUUUCAUUUCCUAUGAAACUAUAAUUAGUGUAUAUCUGAUACUUAUUCUGAACCUAAUUCUGAACAUCAUAUUUCAUUGUAUGUAGCACAUUGCUUAUAAGUGACACCUAGCUAAACAUGACCUCCUUUUAUUGAUUCUGGGCUCUGAUGCUGUGCAUCGCUUGUAUCUGUGCAUGAUAAAUUCAUGAAAAAUGAAUAAUUUUUGCAUUGGUUGUCAACCUACCACAACCCUCCAGCCUCCUCCUUUGGCCAGGAUUGAGUUUAUUAACUUUUCUUUUUCUCAAUGUUUGUUGUGAAUCUUUCUACUAAAAGUCUUAUACAUUAUACUUGAAAAUGUAUCCUUCAAUCAAGUGCAUGCUUGCACUCUCGUGGAAGCCUAUGUGCUUAAUUAUGAUUGACGCUUUUCAUCAUUAUUGAUUUGGUUCUUGUAAAAAAAAAUUGAGAAAAUUAUUUUUAUCUUUGGUGAAUCAGAAAGUGGUUUUGCCUAACUCCUAACCACUAUUUAUAGUUUUUGUUUCCAUCAUAGGAAAGUGAUUCAGUAUUAUUUUUUAUUUUUCUGUUCAAGAGAGAAAUAAUUUAUUGACAAGGUAAAGUUAUUUUUAAAAUUUUAGUUGGUUUAAGAACUGUUUUAUUCAAAUCGUUGUCUUAUGUAAUCUUAUAAAAAUACUUUUUAUUUAUCAUACCUCUUGUGGACUAGAAACUUGCAGUCAUGAUCUAGCCUUCUCUUUCCAUUAAAUGAGUUCUAAUCAUCAUAUAAUCUUCAUACAUCUUUGGAGCAUGAGUACAUCUAAACCAUCUUGAUUAAUUUACAUGUUUCUAAAAGAUAAGACAUACAAUUCUAUUGCUCAAAUGUUUCAAAGUUUAAAUUAGGUGAAUGUAACUCCUCUUUCUAGAUGACAUUUCUCUUAUAGGGUUACUCAUGGAUUUAGAUAGCUCCCUUACUAAUCAACCUAUUUCCCUCAACUUUUACUAUUUGUUUCAGAUGUACCAGUUCCCACUGCAUGUGCUAUUUUGGUAUGCCUUUUCAUGCUGCAGCACUAUGGGACUCAUAAGAUUGGAUUUAUGUUUGCUCCAAUUAUCAUUAUUUGGCUUCUAUUUAUCGGUGGAGUGGGCAUAUAUAACAUCUUUUACUGGAACAAACAAAUCAUCCAUGCGAUCCUCCCAGUAUACCUGUACAGAUUUGUGAGAAAUACUGACAUUGGUAGUUGGAGAUCAUUAGGCAGCAUCAUUCUAUGUGUAGCAGGUCAUUUCUAUAGUUAUGUUCUCAUAGUGUUAAUUAUUAAUAUUGGUAAUAGGAAAAUGUGCUUAUUUCUUUAUUAGAAAUUUUUUUGGUUGCUUCACAAGAUGACCUAUUUUUGCAGGAUCAGAGGCCAUUUUUGCAGAUCUCGGCCAUUUCUCAAAGAAAUCAAUCAAGGUAUUCAAUACAGCUUUCAUUUUCUUUUCUUUUCUUUUUUUUUUUUUUUCUUUUUUUCCCUCCCCACUGUUAGGAUCUAUACAUCAGAGUUAUAAAGAACUUGUGGAUGGUGUCUCUGCUGCAGAUUGCAUUUGUUUGCUUGAUUUAUCCAGUUCUUAUUUUAUGCUAUGCGGGUCAGGCUGCAUAUAUGUCCAAAAACUUGCAUGUUGAAGAUUUUAAUAAUCUCACUGAAUCUGUACCUCGUAAGUUGUUUACUUUGCUUUCAUGUUUUACUGUGGUUUCUUUAUCUGCAAAUUGUAUUUCUAAUGCACGGGAGCACUUUGCAAGUCCAGGGCCUAUUCGCCAUUUCUUUAGUGUAUUAUCCCUAUUUGCCUCAGUUGUUGGAAGCCAAGCAACCAUAACAGCCAGUUUCUCCAUCAUAAACCAGUGCCUGGCACUUAAUUGUUUUCCCAGAGCCAAAGUUAUUCAUACAUCAGAUAAGAUACAUGGGCAAGUUUACAUUCCAGAUGUCAACUGGUUAUUGAUGAUUCUCAGCCUCACAGUCACAAUUGGUUUCCAUGAUAUUGUGAGAAUUGGUAAUGCAACAGGUACACGUUUCUAACAAUAUCCCAUGAUUUUUCAAGAAGAUAAUUAAAGUGAUUAUAAUUUUAACAUAUAGGACAAAAAUUUAUGACUGGAACAAUUUGGAACUAAUGAGUAAUGACAUGGACAAGAGGAUUGUCAAAGAAAAGUUGAUAAAAAACAUUUACAAAAAAAGUGACCAAAAUAUAAAUGUAAGAUGAAAAUUGAAAUAGUUGUUUAGUUCUAGAAUAACUCCUGAAAUUUUCUCAACUUAUAUCUCACAGGUUUGGCUGUAAUUUCUGGAAUGCUUAUAACAACUUGUCUGAUGUCUCUUGUAAUUGCUCUGUACUGGGAGAAGAAUUUUUUUCUAUCUUCAUGUUUUCUGAUAUUCUUUGGCUUCGUUGAGACCAUGUAUCUGUCAGCUUGUAUGCUGAAUUUUCACAAGGGAGCCUGGUAUCUGGUUGUCCUUCUGGCCUUGUCAUUGACAUUAAUGCUUGCAUGGCAUUAUGGAACUGUGAAGAAAUACGAGUAUGAUUUACAAAACAAGGUAUCCACAGAGUGGCUUACAGAACUUGGUCCUGGCCUUGGAGUUUCUAGGAUACCUGGAAUUGGCUUUAUUUACACCGAUAUAGUGACUGGAAUCCCAGCUUUCUUCUCACAUUUCAUUGCCAAUCUACCUGCAUUUCAUCAGGUGCUCAUUUUCGUUUCCUUCAAGUCUUUAGCUGAGCCUCAUGUCCCCCCAAGUCGAAGGUAUCUUAUAGGCCGGGUAGGACCUAAAGAUUAUAGAAUUUAUCGUUGCAUUGUUAGACACGGGUACUGUGAUCACAUUAGGGAUACAGAUGACUUCGAGGAAGAGAUCAUUCGUUCAAUUGGAGAAUUCAUUUCCAUGGAAGAAAGUGAUUUCGAAUCCUUGACGUCUCCCGAAGGAAGAAUGGUUGUUGUUGGAAAGCCAUUGCCAGGACAAAAUGCUUUGAUUCCGCUAGAUGAUACUGACUCAACCAUUGGUUCUGCUAGCUUGGCAAACAAUGACUCUCAGAUUAGUCCAUUGGAUAAAAUUGGUGUUCCUGUAAAGAAAAAGGUCAGAUUCAUGUUGCCUGAAAAUUGUCCUCAAAUGCGGGUAUCUGUCAGGGAUGAGCUACAAGAACUAAUUGAUGCCAGGGAGAGUGGUACUGCAUAUUUCCUAGGCCAGUCACAUUUAAUAGUGCGUGAAGGCUCAAACUUUCUAAAGCGAUUCCUGAUCAAGACUUACAUUUUUUGUGAUAAAAACUGCCGACAACCUCCAGUGGCCCUGAACAUUCCUCAUGCUGCUCUAGUAGAGGUUGGUAUGGUCUAUACCAUAUAA